rnacentral:rRNA from 1 species
UACGUAGGGGGCUAGCGUUGUCCGGAAUCAUUGGGCGUAAAGCGCGCGUAGGCGGCCAGAUAAGUCCGGUGUGAAAGUCACAGGCUCAACCUGUGAAUGCCGCUGGAAACUGUCUGGCUAGAGUCCGGAAGGGGCGAGUGGAAUUCCUGGUGUAGCGGUGAAAUGCGCAGAUAUCAGGAGGAACACCAAUGGCGAAGGCAGCUCGCUGGAACGGUACUGACACUGAGGAGCGAAAGCGUGGGUAGCAAACAGG